UAUGGCCAUAUUGUAUUGAAACACCUGUUCUCAUAUGACCACCCAAGUUAAGCAAUGCCAAGUCUGGUCAGUAACUGGAUGGGUGAUUGGGAAUACCAGGUGCUGUA